rnacentral:rRNA from 1 species
GACGAACGCUGGCGGCGUGCUUAACACAUGCAAGUCGAACGGUAAGGCCCCUUCCGGGGUCCACGAGUGGCGCACGGGUGUGUAACACGCGUGCAACCUGCCCUUGACUCUUUGAUAACAGUUGGAAACAGCGGCUAAUACUGGAUAUUCAUCGUCUCCUUCCUGGGGGGUGGUGGAAAGGUCCCGCCGUCAGGGUUGGGCCUGCGGGCUUAUCAGCUGUUUGUGGGGGAAUGGCCUUACCAGGGCUCUAACGGUUAGCCGGCCGGAGGGGGGGACCGGCAACACUGGGACGGAGAUACGGCCCGGACUCCUACGGGGGGCAGCAGUGGGGAAUAUUGCACAAUGGGCGCAAGCCUGAUGCAGCAACGCCGCGUGCGGGAUGACGGCCUUCGGGUUGUAACCCGCUUUCAGUAGGGACGAAGGGUGACUGACGGUACCUACAGAAGAAGGACCGGCUAACUACGUG